CCUACGUGUGGCAGCAGUGGGGAAUAUUGCACAAUGGGGGAAACCCUGAUGCAGCGACGCCGCGUGAGUGAAGAAGUAUUUCGGUAUGUAAAGCUCUAUCAGCAGGGAAGAAAAUGACGGUACCUGACUAAGAAGCCCCGGCUAAGUACGUGCCAGCAGCCGCGGUAAUCCGUAGGGGGCAAGCGUGAUCCGGAUAUACUGGGUGUAAAGGGAGGUUAGACGGCCAGACAAGUCCGAAGUGAAAGCCCAGGGCUCAACCCAGGGACUGCUUUUGAAACUGCCGGGCUUGAGUGCAGGAGAGGUAAGCGGAAUUACUAGUGUAGCGGUGAAAUGCGUAGAUAUUAGGAGGAACCCCAGUGGCGAAGGCGGCUUACUGGACUGUAACUGACGUUGAGGCUCGAAAGCGUGGGGAGCAAACAGGAUUAGAUACCCCAGUAGUC
rnacentral:rRNA from 1 species